rnacentral:rRNA from 1 species
UACGUAGGCAGCAAGCGUUGUUCGGAAUUACUGGGCGUAAAGAGUGUGUAGGCGGUGCUCUAAGUCUGUUGUGAAAUCUCCCGGCUUAACCGGGAGGGUGCGGCGGAAACUGGAGUGCUUGAGGGUGGGAGAGGUAAGCGGAAUUCCUGGUGUAGCGGUGAAAUGCGUAGAUAUCAGGAGGAACACCUGUGGUGUAGACAGCUUACUGGACCACUUCUGACGCUGAGACACGAAGGCGUGGGGAGCGAACGGG